UGGAUGAGCCCGCGGCCUAUCAGCUUGUUGGUGGGGUAAUGGCCUACCAAGGCGACGACGGGUAGCCGGCCUGAGAGGGUGACCGGCCACACUGGGACUGAGACACGGCCCAGACUCCUACGGGAGGCAGCAGUGGGGAAUAUUGCCCAAUGGGCGAAAGCCUGAUGCAGCGACGCCGCGUGAGGGAUGACGGCUUCGGGUUGUACUCUUUUGUACCAGAGCGAAGGACCCUACCUUUAACUGCCCCGGCUAACUCGGUUCUCUUUCUUUUUCUCCCUUUUUCCUUAGUAGGGGGGCGGCCCCCUU
rnacentral:rRNA from 1 species